AUGUAUGUUCCUACAACAUAGAAUUAAUGCACCAAAUCCCAUUAUAAAUCCACAGUUAAGCGAUCUAGGGAUAGAGUAGAACUGGGAUGGGUGACUUCCCAUGAAGUCUUAAUAUUUUACAUG
rfam:Picea glauca, whole genome shotgun sequence.